rnacentral:misc_RNA from 1 species
ACCCAAAUUUUACUUUUUAGCCCCAUGGCACACAUUGUCUGCGAAAACGGCAAUGGCUUCGCCGCCACCGCUGCUGACGGCACCAGCAACGGCUUCGUCGCCACUGCCGCUGACGGCAACAUCAACGGCCUUUGCCUCCAUGCCGACCCCCUCAACUGGCGGGCAGCGGCCGACGCCAUGUCCGGAAGCCAUCUCGACGAAGUUAGACAGAUGGCGGCAGAGUUCCGAAAACCGGUGGUGCGAUUAGAGGGUGCAAGUCUGAAUAUAUCGCAGGUGGCAGCGGUGGCGGCUGGCCGGGCGGUGAAGGUCGAGCUGUCGGAGGAGGCGAGGGGCCGCGUGAAGGCGAGCAGCGAGUGGGUGAUGGACAGCAUGAACAAGGGGACCGACAGCUACGGCGUCACCACCGGCUUCGGCGCCACCUCUCAUCGGAGAACGAAGCAGGGCGGCGCUUUGCAGAAGGAGCUCAUAAGAUUUCUCAAUGCCGGGAUCUUCGGCGCCGGGCCGGAAGCCGGCCAGACGCUGCCAUCGACCACCACCCGAGCGGCGAUGCUCGUCAGAGUCAACACCCUCCUCCAGGGUUACUCAGGCAUCCGCUUCGAGAUCCUCGAGGCCAUCUCGAGCCUCCUAAACCACAAUGUCACACCCUGCCUCCCCCUCCGCGGGACAAUCACCGCCUCCGGCGACCUCGUCCCACUCUCAUACAUUGCCGGCAUGCUCACCGGUCGGCCCAACUCAAUAGCCAUCGGCCCCGACGGCACGUAUGUCAAUGCCACCGAAGCAUUCCGUCUAGCUGGUAUCUCAGGUGGCUUCUUUGAGCUCCAACCUAAGGAGGGGCUCGCCAUGGUGAACGGCACUGCCGUCGGCUCCGGCCUCGCCUCCAUGGUCCUCUUCGAAGCCAACAUCCUUGCUGUCCUUGCUGAGGUGUUAUCGGCCAUCUUCUGUGAGGUCAUGCAGGGGAAGCCGGAGUUCACCGACCAUCUCACCCACAAGCUCAAGCACCACCCCGGCCAGAUCGAGGCCGCCGCCAUCAUGGAGCACAUCCUCGCCGGAAGCUCAUACAUGAAAAUGGCGGCAAAGAUACACGAACAAGACCCUCUCCAGAAGCCGAAACAAGACCGAUACGCCCUCCGCACAUCGCCUCAGUGGCUCGGCCCGCAAAUCGAGGUCAUUCGUACAUCGACAAAGUCGAUCGAGCGGGAAAUCAAUUCAGUCAACGACAACCCGCUCAUCGAUGUGUCACGUAACAAGGCCAUCCACGGUGGCAACUUCCAGGGCACCCCCAUCGGUGUCUCAAUGGACAAUACUCGCCUCGCCAUCGCUGCCAUCGGGAAGCUAAUGUUUGCUCAGAUCUCGGAACUUGUCAACGACUUCUACAACAAUGGCCUCCCUUCGAACCUCUCAGGCGGUCGCAACCCGAGCCUCGAUUAUGGCUUCAAGGGGGCAGAGAUCGCAAUGGCGUCCUACUGCUCGGAGCUCCAGUUUCUGGCGAAUCCCGUGACGAACCAUGUCCAGAGCGCGGAGCAGCAUAACCAGGAUGUCAACUCUCUGGGGCUGAUCUCGUCAAGGAAGACCGCUGAGGCAGUGGAGAUUCUGAAACUGAUGUCUUCGACUUUUCUAGUCGCUCUCUGUCAGGCAGUCGACUUGCGCCAUCUGGAGGAAAAUCUGAAGGCGGCCGUCAAGAAUACGGUCAGCCAGGUGGCGAAGAGGGUGCUGACAAUGGGAGUCAAUGGGGAGCUGCAUCCAUCGAGGUUCUGCGAGAAGGAUCUGAUCAAGGUCAUAGACAGGGAGUACGUGUUCGCCUAUGCUGACGACCCGUGCAGCGCCGCUUAUCCACUGAUGCAGAAACUGCGUGGGGUAUUGGUGGAGCACGCACUUGUCAAUGGCGAGAAGGAGAAGGAAGUGGGGACGUCGAUAUUCCAGAAGAUCGCGGCUUUCGAGGAGGAGCUAAAGGCGACCCUGCCGAAGGAAGUGGAGGGGGUGAGGAUGGCAUUCGACAAUGGAACCAAUGUGAUUGCAAACAGGAUCUCCGAGUGCAGGUCAUAUCCGCUGUACAAGUUUGUCAGGGAAGAGCUGGGGGCCGGAUAUCUUACUGGCGAGAAGGUGCGAUCACCAGGGGAGGAGUUCAACAAGGUGUUCAUUGCCAUGAGCCAAUGGAAGGUGAUCGAUCCGUUGCUAGAGUGCUUGAGCGACUGGAACGGCGCACCGCUCCCGAUUUGUUGAGUGUUGAAAACUUAGGACUUGAAUUCAGCUGCGAGGACAAGUUGUAAUAUGUGUUAGUAUUUGUUGUUUGUUGUUAUGUUUAUUUUUGUAUGCGAGCUAUAUAAGUUCAAGUAUCAAUGAUAACUAUGUUUAAAUAAAUGGUAACGUAGAAGCAUAA